UAGGGAAUCUUCCGCAAUGGGCGAAAGCCUGACGGAGCAACGCCGCGUGAGUGAUGAAGGUCUUCGGAUCGUAAAACUCUGUUAUUAGGGAAGAACAAAUGUGUAAGUAACUAUGCACGUCUUGACGGUACCUAAUCAGAAAGCCACGGCUAACUACGUGCCAGCAGCCGCGGUAAUACGUAGGUGGCAAGCGUUAUCCGGAAUUAUUGGGCGUAAAGCGCGCGUAGGCGGUUUUUUAAGUCUGAUGUGAAAGCCCACGGCUCAACUGUGGAGGGUCAUUGGAAACUGGAAAACUUGAGUGCAGAAGAGGAAAGUGGAAUUCCAUGUGUAGCGGUGAAAUGCGCAGAGAUAUGGAGGAACACCAGUGGCGAAGGCGACUUUCUGGUCUGUAACUGACGCUGAUGUGCGAAAGCGUGGGGAUCAAACAGG
rnacentral:rRNA from 1 species